GACGAACCGAGCGAACGUUGUUCGGAAUCACUGGGCUUAAAGGGCGCGUAGGCGGGUACUCCAGUCCGUGGUGAAAUCCUCCGGCUCAACCGGAGAACUGCCUCGGAUACUGGGUGUCUCGAGGGUGGUAGGGGUAUGCGGAACUAUCGGUGGAGCGGUGAAAUGCGUUGAUAUCGAUAGGAACUCCGGUGGCGAAGGCGGCAUACUGGACCACUUCUGACGCUGAGGCGCGAAAGCCAGGGGAGCAAACGGG
rnacentral:rRNA from 1 species